rnacentral:rRNA from 1 species
AUUGAACGCUGGCGGCAGGCCUAACACAUGCAAGUCGAGCGGAUGACGGGAGCUUGCUCCUUGAUUCAGCGGCGGACGGGUGAGUAAUGCCUAGGAAUCUGCCUGGUAGUGGGGGACAACGUUUCGAAAGGAACGCUAAUACCGCAUACGUCCUACGGGAGAAAGCAGGGGACCUUCGGGCCUUGCGCUAUCAGAUGAGCCUAGGUCGGAUUAGCUAGUAGGUGAGGUAAUGGCUCACCUAGGCGACGAUCCGUAACUGGUCUGAGAGGAUGAUCAGUCACACUGGAACUGAGACACGGUCCAGACUCCUACGGGAGGCAGCAGUGGGGAAUAUUGGACAAUGGGCGAAAGCCUGAUCCAGCCAUGCCGCGUGUGUGAAGAAGGUCUUCGGAUUGUAAAGCACUUUAAGUUGGGAGGAAGGGCAGUAAGCUAAUAUCUUGCUGUUUUGACGUUACCGACAGAAUAAGCACCGUCUAACUCUGUGCCAGCCGCCGCGGUAACAC